rfam:Valsa mali strain 03-8 chromosome 8, whole genome shotgun sequence.
GGUUCUGUGGCUCAAUGGCAGAGCGUCUGACUACGAUGAACUACUCUCAGUUAUCAGGAGGUUCCAGGUUCGACCCCUGGCAGAAUCA